rnacentral:rRNA from 1 species
UACAGAGGUCUCAAGCGUUGUUCGGAUUCAUUGGGCGUAAAGGGUGCGCAGGCGGUCCGUUAAGUCGGGUGUGAAAUCUCACAGCCUAACUGUGAUAGGUCAUUCGAAACUAGCGGGCUCGAGGACUGGAGAGGAGACUGGAAUGGUCGGUGUAGCGGUGAAAUGCGUAGAGAUCGACCAGAACACCGGUGGCGAAGGCGGGUCUCUGGACAGUUCCUGACGCUCAGGCACGAAAGCCAGGGGAGCAAACGGG